AGCAUGGGUCUUAGCUUGCUAAGGCCGAUGGCGACCGGCGCACGGGUGAGUAACGCGUAUUCCACUUGCCUUACACUCUUGGAUAGCCUUCUGAAAGGGAGAUUAAUACAAGAUGUUAUCAUGAGUAAGCAUUUUCGCAUGAUUAAAGGUUUACCGGUGUAAGAUGGGGAUGCGUUCCAUUAGAUAGUAGGCGGGGUAACGGCCCACCUAGUCUUCGAUGGAUAGGGGUUCUGAGAGGAAGGUCCCCCACAUUGGAACUGAGACACGGUCCAAACUCCUACGGGAGGCAGCAGUGAGGAAUAUUGGUCAAUGGGCGAGAGCCUGAACCAGCCAAGUAGCGUGAAGGAUGACUGCCCUAUGGGUUGUAAACUUCUUUUAUAAAGGAAUAAAGUCGGGUAUGCAUACCCGUUUGCAUGUACUUUAUGAAUAAGGAUCGGCUAACUCCGUGCCAGCAGCCGCGGUAAUACGGAGGAUCCGAGCGUUAUCCGGAUUUAUUGGGUUUAAAGGGAGCGUAGAUGGAUGUUUAAGUCAGUUGUGAAAGUUUGCGGCUCAACCGUAAAAUUGCAGUUGAUACUGGAUAUCUUGAGUGCAGUUGAGGCAGGCGGAAUUCGUGGUGUAGCGGUGAAAUGCUUAGAUAUCACGAAGAACUCCGAUUG
rnacentral:rRNA from 1 species